rnacentral:rRNA from 1 species
UACAGAGGGGGCAAGCGUUGUUCGGAAUUACUGGGCGUAAAGGGCGCGUAGGCGGCCUGCUAAGUCGAACGUGAAAUCCCCGAGCUCAACUCGGGAACUGCGUCCGAUACUGACAGGCUUGAAUCCGGGAGAGGGAUGCGGAAUUCCAGGUGUAGCGGUGAAAUGCGUAGAUAUCUGGAAGAACACCCGUGGCGAAAGCGGCUCUCUGGAACGGUACUGACGCUGAGACGCGAAAGCGUGGGGAGCGAACAGG